AGUGAUGUUCACCAUGACAAAAACCUCCUCACUGCUCACACUCACUUCUGCUUUCACACAACACGAGAAACAACAAAAACCUGAACUUCAAAUCACUGGAACUGAAGUGGAAACUCACUUGAUGUUUACUUUUAAUUCUUCAAAGAAUAAGAUCAAAUACUGUGUUGAUGUCUUGCUAAAAGGUGAAACACUGCCACAGUCUGAGGAAGUUUCCACUCAGGAGCAGUUCUUCAUUAAAGACCUCUCUACAUUUGCUUGUAUUCAAACACACUCUUCCAGUCACUGCUAAUGAGAAGCACUUCCAUUGCUUGAUGCUCCCACCAUCAUGCUUCAUCACUGGAAUACGAUUAGCCAGUUAAUAAACAGAUCCUGGAUUAUGAUAGACAUCAUUCAUGGAAGUUCAGACUUCAGAGAUCAAAUUUUUCCUUCAUCAGAACACAGAAUGUGUUUCCUCAUGUCCUUCUGUCCAGUCACUGAACCUUAAAGUCCUGAUUGAUGGAGCAUGUUUAAGAUAAGAUGACCUUUCGAAGGUUCUGUCCUCUCUGUGAAGGAAUUCUAAAUAUAUAAGUAAAGUCAUCAUUAAAAUCACCUCACUAUCCAAUGUCCUUCAAACCUGAUUACUGAGUUUGGCCAGACAGCCGGCUCUAAGAAGAAUCCUGGUAGUUCCAAACAUCUUCUGUUUCACAAUGAUGUCAAGUAAUAAUGUCCAAAAGGACAUGGAAUGGGAUCUUAAGGGUGCAGGAAUGUGUGCUGAUUGUAGACAGGAGAAGAAAGAGCUGAAGUCUGGAGGAUGUUUCAGUUCUUCUGCUUUCACUUCUGUAUCUGAGGAGGUUUUUGUACGGGUGAGGACGCUGAAUGAAUCACUGUGGUAUUCGGCCAAGGAACAAAGCUGAUCGUCAGCGACGCUGCUCUCCCGGCUCCUGUUCUGAACCUUCUUCCUCCGUCCAGUGAAGAGCUGAAGUCUACAAAAGCCACUCUGGUGUGUUUGGCCAACGACGUGGCCGGUGGUUUUGCU